rnacentral:tRNA from 1 species
GCGGUGAUGGUUCAGUGGUAGAAUUCUCACCUUCCACACAGGAAUCCUGGGUUCAAUUCCCAGCCAGUGCA